UUGUUUGCAGUUGGAGCAUCAUCAAGAUUCACAAGCUUUACUAUUUUUUGGUUUUGGGUGGUCCCUGGUUGGUCCAAAUCGAUUAUAGCCAGAUGAUAUGAGAAUCUUGAUGAUGCUGCAGCGGCAAUAAA
rfam:Lupinus angustifolius cultivar Tanjil chromosome LG09, whole genome shotgun sequence.